CAGCACAGCGAUGGCGAACGCUUCUGUCUGGGAUACCCCUGACGCUAUGCACGAUGGGUCGGAAGCAAACAUGAUUAGAUGCCAUGGUAGUCCCGCCAUAAACGAUGUCAACUAGCUGUUGGGGCCCUCGGUCCUUGGUAGCGCAGCUAACGCGUGAAGUUGACCGCCUGGGGAGUACGGUCGCAAGAUUAAAACUCAAAGGAAUUGACGGGGACCCGCACAAGCGGUGGAUGAUGUGGAUUAAUUCGAUGCAACGCGAAAAACCUUACCUACCCUUGACAUGUCUGGAAUUCCGAAGAGAUUUGGAAGUGCUCGCAAGAGAACCGGAACACAGGUGCUGCAUGGCUGUCGUCAGCUCGUGUCGUGAGAUGUUGGGUUAAGUCCCGCAACGAGCGCAACCCUUGUCAUUAGUUGCUACGAAAGGGCACUCUAAUGAGACUGCCGGUGACAAACCGGAGGAAGGUGGGGAUGACGUCAAGUCCUCAUGGCCCUUAUGGGUAGGGCUUCACACGUCAUACAAUGGUCGGGACAGAGGGUCGCCAACCCGCGAGGGGGAGCCAAUCCCAGAAACCCGAUCGUAGUCCGGAUCGCAGUCUGCAACUCGACUGCGUGAAGUCGGAAUCGCUAGUAAUCGCGGAUCAGCAUGUCGCGGUGAAUACGUUCCCGGGUCUUGUACACACCGCCCGUCACACCAUGGGAGUGGGUUUUACCAGAAGUAGUUAGCCUAACCGUAAGGGGGGCGAUUACCACGGUAGGAUUCAUGACUGGGGUGAAGUCGUAACAAGGUAGCCGAUCGAUG
rnacentral:rRNA from 1 species